UCCGUCGGGGGCUAGCGUUGUCCGGACUCAUUGGGCGUAAAGAGCGUGUAGGCGGCUCGGUACGUCCGCUGUGAAAGUCAAAGGCUCAACCUUUGAAUGUCAGUGGAUACUGCCGGGCUAGAGUCCGGAAGAGGCGAGUGGAACUCCUGGUGUAGCGGUGGAAUGCGCAGAUAUCAGGAAGAACACCAACGGCGAAGGCAGCGCGCUGGGACGGUACUGACGCUGAGACGCGAAAGCGUGGGGAGCGAACAGG
rnacentral:rRNA from 1 species